CCUCCGAGCCCCCUCCCGGCCCUGCUCCUGGCUGCGGGGUGCGGGCGCUCCUCGGACCCCCGCUCACCGGCUUCCUGCUGCCCAGAGGUCAUGACCUUGUUUUCGGGUUUUGAUGUUAAGUUAGUCAACUUAAAGGAAGCUGUACCCAUGAUGCAGAGACAAGGCAAAAAAAAAAAAAAAGUAAAAGUGAAACUCACUGGAGAAGGCUGGGAAACACUGGUUUAUUUUUAUGGUUCCCCUGAAGGGCUAAUCUUUACCUGUCAUGUCUUUUCCUGGAAAUGACCUCCCCUCUGCUGCUGCUCAGUUGGAAGAAAUUCCCCUACAGACAGCCCUACCGCUCGUACCUGGGCUCCAAGCUCUCACGCGGCCUUGCACGCCUCACAUCCAUCACGCUUACCUGCUUGCACAGCCCUCGGGGAGCUUCCAGAGCACAGGAGAAGCAUGGCCCACGGGUCCUCGUCAUCCUUGCUUCCCAGCGCCCGCCGCACAGCAGCACUGCUGGGUGAGCACACUCACUUCUGCCACCGGUUUCCAGUAGCAACACUCCCUGGAAGGCGAGCUUCAGGUUGAUGCCAUCUGACUUCUCAGGAGCCUUUCUGCCUGCUCCUUAAUCCUGUUCUUGGGAUCUAAGGAGUCAUUCUAAGACCCCACAUUUGCCCACUAAAUACAUGCUCAGAGAUAUCGCUGCUGCCCCUCCUUUCACCCUCACAACAGAGAGGUUCAAUUGGACAGGUGAGACUAUCAUUCUUCUGCAGAUGAGGAAAGGAGUGUUCAGAGAGGUUAUGUGCCUUCUGAGCUCACACAGCAAGUCCAUGAAGACCAAGGUGUGGAACUGGUCUCUCCAUGCCCAGUGUUCUUCCUGCACCACCACAUUGCCACCCGGAUGGUCCAAAUUACCCACCACACUCUCCAAAGCACCAAAUCCAAGGCAGUGGGAGGGUUAUUGUGAUACACCCACCACAUCUCCAUUACUGGCUGGGUGGAGCCCAUCCCAGUCUUUAAUUUGGAAAGGACCUGCUCAGAAAGCUGCACUAAUGAGCUUUUCCUUUCAGAACUAUAAAUAUUUACAGUCAUAGCUAUUUUGCUGUGAAUCGAUCUCCUUCAGGAAACUAGAGUUUUUCUGGGCUGCUGACAGCAUUGAUUUUGUGUUGAUUGCCUUUCUUGCAGUGGCAUUUAAAUGAUAUUUAUUGAUUAGCAGAUGGAUUGUUCCUGGGUGAAGCCAAAAUGAAUUUUGGAAAUGAAGCAACUUAAAAUUUAUCUCAAAACCCCAUUACCUCAGACUAUAUUGAAGUCAAAUCUAAAAAAGAAAAAAGCAAUUGUGGACACUGGGCGAUGGCCCUGGGUUAUUGGGACCACUAUGAUUUUCUCCGCCAUUCCCAUGGCAUUUCCCUCCUCUCUCCAAAGAAGAGUCAAUGAGCACCUGUUAUUACUGAAAACUGCCCUGGCCACGGAUGCAGAAAUGACCAAGUCCCUUUCUAAGGGACCAGAUUUGCAAAUGGAGAGAUGAGUCCACCCCUGGCUCGUCCGUUACUUUGCUGGGUGACUUGCACAUUUUCAAUCAGCAAAAUCUCAAAAUGCCUUCAGUUAAUGAAGAGGCAUUAGUGGAAUUAAAUAUAAAUUGCUUGAAAUUAUAUAAUUAAUGGCAUCCUGCUUCCAUGCUGGUCCCUAGAGGAGACGAGCCUCCCAGAUGGCCCAGGGGUGGCAGUCAGCCGCUCACGACCGCACAUGGAUGAAUCUGUGUCAAUAAAUUUAUCAACGUGAAAUGGCAUUUAGUUACAAAUCGAUAAUUAAUUUACAUAAUUGAAUGUAUUUGUGUCAAUAAUUUUAUAAUUAUAUCCAACAGCUGUGUGACAACAAUAAUUUUCAUUACAUGAAAACAGGAUAAUUAUAUGCUUUUUUUUCAAGAGAGAAA